ACAAACUUGGUCAUUUAGAGGAAGUAAAAGUCGUAACAAGGUUUCCGUAGGUGAACCUGCGGAAGGAUCAUUAUUGAAAUAAAGUUGUUGCUGGUAUUUUAAUUACAUGUGCACACUUUUUAUAAUCUACCCCAAUGUGAACUAUUGCGUGAGCGAAAGCUUGCGAUUAUAAUAACUCUUCUUUGUAUAUGUUAUUGUUAGUAUUAAAAUAAAAUAUAUAUAACUUUCAGCAACGGAUCUCUUGGCUCUCGCAUCGAUGAAGAACGCAGC
rnacentral:misc_RNA from 1 species